AAAUGUGGUUGAAUUUUCUAGAUAUCUAUGAUGACACCAUAUCCCGAAGAGUUAAUUCAAGUGAUGCUGAGAAAUUUGCUGAAAUCUGCCCUUGUCCUUGCAAUGGCGUUGGAUGGGGUGUUAUAUGGGGCUUCAUCUCAUUUAUUUUUCUCUGUGCAUCGAUAUAUCUUGGACUGGUUAUAUUGUCAUGAGGGCUUCCACCUCCCAUAUAGUAGUACCAUUUAGAUCUUGACAGCCCAG